rnacentral:rRNA from 1 species
UACGGAGGGGGCUAGCGUUGUUCGGAUUUACUGGGCGUAAAGAGCGCGUAGGCGGUUUAGUAAGUUGGUGGUGAAAUCCCGGGGCUUAACCUCGGAACUGCUUCCAAAACUGCUAGGCUAGAGUGUAGUAGGGGAUGAUGGAAUUCCUAGUGUAGAGGUGAAAUUCUUAGAUAUUAGGAGGAACACCGGUGGCGAAGGCGGUCAUCUGGGCUACAACUGACGCUGAGGCGCGAAAGCGUGGGGAGCAAACAGG